AUUGAACGCUGGCGGCAGGCUUAACACAUGCAAGUCGAGCGGAGAGAGGUAGCUUGCACUAUCACUUAGCGGCGGACGGGUGAGUAAUGCUUAGGAAUCUGCCUAUUAGUGGGGGACAACAUCUCGAAGGGGAUGCUAAUACCGCAUACGUCCUACGGGAGAAAGCAGGGGAUCACUUGUGACCUUGCGCUAAUAGAUGAGCCUAAGUCGGAUUAGCUAGUUGGUGGGGUAAAGGCCUACCAAGGCGACGAUCUGUAGCGGGUCUGAGAGGAUGAUCCGCCACACUGGGACUGAGACACGGCCCAGACUCCUACGGGAGGCAGCAGUGGGGAAUAUUGGACAAUGGGGGGAACCCUGAUCCAGCCAUGCCGCGUGUGUGAAGAAGGCCUUAUGGUUGUAAAGCACUUUAAGCGAGGAGGAGGCUCUUUUGGUUAAUACCCAAGAUGAGUGGACGUUACUCGCAGAAUAAGCACCGGCUAACUCUGUGCCAGCCGCCGCGGUAA
rnacentral:rRNA from 1 species